rnacentral:rRNA from 1 species
UACGGAGGAGGCAAGCGUUAUCCGGAAUUAUUGGGCGUAAAGCGUCCGCAGGUGGCACUUCAAGUCUGUCGUCAAAGACUGGGGCUUAACCCUGGAAAGGCGGUGGAAACUGAAGCGCUAGAGUGCGGUAGGGGUAGAGGGAAUUCCCGGUGUAGCGGUGAAAUGCGUAGAGCUCGGGAAGAACAUCGGUGGCGAAAGCGCUCUGCUGGACUGCAACUGACACUCAGGGACGAAAGCUAGGGGAGCGAACAGG